AGCUGAUCAUCCUGGGCUCUGAUUAGUAUGCAUACAGCGUGCAAGGUGGCAACAGCUGAUCAUCCUGGGCUCUGUUCAGUAGGCAUACAGCGUGCAAGGUGGCAACAGCUGAUCAUCCUGGGCUCUGUUCAGUAGGCACACAGCGUGCAAGGUGGCAACAGCUGAUCAUCCUGGGCUCUGUUCAGUAGGCACACAGCGUGCAAGGUGGCAACAGCUGAUCAUCCUGGGCUCUGUUUAGUAGGCAUACAGCGUGCAAGGUGGCAACAGCUGAUCAUCCUGGGCUCUGUUCAGUAGGCAUACAGCGUGCAAGGUGGCAACAGCUGAUCAUCCUGGGCUCUAUUCAGUAGGCAUACAGCGUGCAAGGUGGCAACAGCUGAUCAUCCUGGGCUCUAUUCAGUAGGCACACAGCGUGCAAGGUGGCAACAGCUGAUCAUCCUGGGCUCUAUUCAGUAGGCAUACAGCGUGCAAGGUGGCAACAGCUGAUCAUCCUGGGCUCUGUUUAGUAGGCAUACAGCGUGCAAGGUGGCAACAGCUGAUCAUCCUGGGCUCUGUUCAGUAGGCAUACAGCGUGCAAGGUGGCAACAGCUGAUCAUCCUGGGCUCUGUUUAGUAGGCAUACAGCGUGCAAGGUGGCAACAGCUGAUCAUCCUGGGCUCUGUUCAGUAGGCAUACAGCGUGCAAGGUGGCAACAGCUGAUCAUCCUGGGCUCUGUUCAGUAGGCACACAGCGUGCAAGGUGGCAACAGCUGAUCAUCCUGGGCUCUGUUUAGUAGGCAUACAGCGUGCAAGGUGGCAACAGCUGAUCAUCCUGGGCUCUGUUCAGUAGGCAUACAGCGUGCAAGGUGGCAACAGCUGAUCAUCCUGGGCUCUGUUUAGUAGGCAUACAGCGUGCAAGGUGGCAACAGCUGAUCAUCCUGGGCUCUGUUCAGUAGGCAUACAGCGUGCAAGGUGGCAACAGCUGAUCAUCCUGGGCUCUGUUUAGUAGGCAUACAGCGUGCAAGGUGGCAACAGCUGAUCAUCCUGGGCUCUGUUCAGUAGGCAUACAGCGUGCAAGGUGGCAACAGCUUUGCAAAGAAGGGCACCUAUUGUUAGAUGGGUAAAUAUAAAAAAGCAGACAUUGAAUAUUCCUUUGAGCAUGGUGAAGUUAUUAAUGACACUUUGGAUGGUGUAUCAAUACACCCAGUCACUACAAAGAUACAGGCGUCUUUCCUAACUCAGUUGCCGGAGAGGAAGGAAACCGCUCAGGGAUUUCACCAUGAGGCCAAUGGUGACUUUAAAACAGUUACAGAGUUUAAUGGCUGUAGUUACUCCACAAUACUAACGUAAAUUACAGAGUGAAAAGAAGGAAGCCUGUACAGACUAAAAAUAUUUCAAAACAUGCAUCCUGUUUACAACAAAGCAUUAAAGUAAUACUGCAAAAAAUGUGGCAAAGCAAUUCACUUUUGUCCUGAAUACAAAGUGUUCUGUUUGGGGCAAAUCCAGUACCACUC